rnacentral:piRNA from 1 species
AUCCACAGUUGUACUAUGCUUUGA